CUAUAUAUACCCUUUUCUUCAGUUGCCCUAACACUCUCCUCUCCUCUUCUCCUCUCCUCUCUGGCGACCGACGAGACAAACUCCUCCAUCUCCAAGAUCGCAGCCGAUCGUUUAGUUUGGCCCCCUGUUUUCCGUUGAUCUGCACAAAAAAAGGUAAGGUGUGUGGUUAGAUUUGUGUGAGAAGUAUGAUCUCAAUCAUCUUUCAUAAAGCUGGAAUCAGAAAAUGACCAAAUGAAAUGUAUUUACAAUUAAUUUCCCAAUCAAUUUUCGAGGAUUUGGAUUCAAUUCUUCGAAUUCAUAGACUUAGAUCCUUGAAAAAAUCUUAAUCUACCUGAGAGACAUCGAAUUCAUAGAUGAAACCAAUAGCAAUCUGAAGAAGUGGAUUGUCCUUAGGCUUAUUAUGGAUGGUUUUGAAGCCUCCCUCUGUAAACUUCCUGGCCUGCUACCAUUGGUCGCCCUUCAUGUCUCUUUCUCUCUCUGAUCUCUCUCUCUGUGGAUUUUGAUGUUUUGAUGAAAGACAGCAAUGGUGGUGGUGAUGAAACAGUGAGGUUGAUAGUGGACAUGGAUUUCAGGUCUCAGUUUGAGCUAGCAAGGCCUAUUUCAACAUACUCAAAGCUAACAGCUUAUUUGCCUCCCAUAUUU